CCAUUAAACUGCUUGGGAAACUGAUAGUCUAGAGUGAGGGAGAGGCAGAUGGAAUUGGUGGUGUAGGGGUAAAAUCCGUAGAUAUCACCAAGAAUACCCAUUGCGAAGGCGAUCUGCUGGAACUCAACUGACGCUAAGGCGCGAAAGCGUGGGGAGCAAACAGGAUUAGAUACCCUGGUAGUCCACGCCCUAAACGAUGUACACUAGUUGUUGGGGUGCUAGUCAUCUCAGUAAUGCAGCUAACGCAUUAAGUGUACCGCCUGGGGAGUACGGUCGCAAGAUUAAAACUCAAAGGAAUAGACGGGGACCCGCACAAGCGGUGGAGCAUGUGGUUUAAUUCGAAGAUACGCGAAGAACCUUACCUGGGCUUGAUAUCCUAAGAACCUUUUAGAGAUAAGAGGGUGCUAGCUUGCUAGAACUUAGAGACAGGUGCUGCACGGCUGUCGUCAGCUCGUGUCGUGAGAUGUUGGGUUAAGUCCCGCAACGAGCGCAACCCACGUAUUUAGUUGCUAACGGUUCGGCCGAGCACUCUAAAUAGACUGCCUUCGUAAGGAGGAGGAAGGUGUGGACGACGUCAAGUCAUCAUGGCCCUUAUGCCCAGGGCGACACACGUGCUACAAUGGCAUAUACAAUGAGACGCAAUACCGCGAGGUGGAGCAAAUCUAUAAAAUAUGUCCCAGUUCGGAUUGUUCUCUGCAACUCGAGAGCAUGAAGCCGGAAUCGCUAGUAAUCGUAGAUCAGCCAUGCUACGGUGAAUACGUUCCCGGGUCUUGUACUCACCGCCCGUCACACCAUGGGAGUUGAUUUCACUCGAAGCCGGAAUACUAAACUAGUUACCGUCCACAGUGGAAUCAGCGACUGGGGUGAAGUCGUAACAAGGUAACCGUAGGAGAACCUGCGGUUGGAUCACCUCCUUUCUA
rnacentral:rRNA from 1 species